GUAGCUAAUAGAAAGAAGACCGAAGCCCGUCUAACUGGCGGGGGCCACCACCACCUCCCCUCACCCCAUCUGAUCAGUGGUUGCUGGCAUUCCAGGGGGCAGUUCCUCGCACACACCAUGCACCACAAGUGAUGGUGAAAAAAUGGUGAAAUAUACUGAUGGACGAUUGUAUUAUUGGACCCUCCAGAAAGAACGCAGUCUGUCACAGUUGAUGAAGAUGAUGAAGAUGACGAUGAAGAGACCACAUCUGCGGUGACAGAAGUGGACAAUGCUAGUAGAUCCACUGAGUACAUACCUAGGGAUUUGCCCACAGAUGAGGUCCUUCAACCUCAGCAUACAAUCUAAGCAGGUUGCCAGCAAAGGAGCUGUAUAAGAUCCAUCUUCAAAAACAAAUAAGAAAAAGUUACAUGUGACAUGGAGAUGGACCUUAUACAGCUUCAAAUGGAAGAGAAAAGGCUCCUCAUUAAAAAAGCAGCACUUGAAAUUGAAUUACUGGACCAUCGCCUUAAGGUGAGAACUUUAAUCUGUUGCAUGUUGAAAGUGGUGUGUGUGUGUGUGUGUGUGUGUGUGUGUGUGUGUGUGUGUGUGUGUGUGUGUGUGUGUGUGUGUGUGUGUGUGUGU